rnacentral:rRNA from 1 species
GACGUAGGGGGCAAGCGUUGUCCGGAAUCAUUGGGCGUAAAGCGCUCGUAGGUGGAUCGGUAAGUCUGCAAAGAAAGACCCGGGCUCAACUCGGGGAACGGUGUGGAUACUACCGAUCUUGAGGCAAUCAGAGGAUGAUGGAAUUCCCGGUGUAGCGGUGAAGUGCGUAGAUAUCGGGAGGAACACCAGUGGCGAAGGCGGCUACCUGGCACAUAACUGACGCUGAUACGCGAAAGCGUGGGGAGCGAACCGG